rnacentral:rRNA from 1 species
GACGAACGCUGGCGGCGUGCCUAAUACAUGCAAGUAGAACGCACAGUUUAUACCGUAGCUUGCUACACCAUAGACUGUGAGUUGCGAACGGGUGAGUAACGCGUAGGUAACCUGCCUGGUAGCGGGGGAUAACUAUUGGAAACGAUAGCUAAUACCGCAUAAUAUUAAUUAUUGCAUGAUAAUUGAUUGAAAGAUGCAACUGCAUCACUACCAGAUGGACCUGCGUUGUAUUAGCUAGUAGGUGAGGUAACGGCUCACCUAGGCGACGAUACAUAGCCGACCUGAGAGGGUGAUCGGCCACACUGGGACUGAGACACGGCCCAGACUCCUACGGGAGGCAGCAGUAGGGAAUCUUCGGCAAUGGACGAAAGUCUGACCGAGCAACGCCGCGUGAGUGAAGAAGGUUGUCGGACCGUAAAGCUCUGUUGUAAGAGAAGAACGGGUGUGAGAGUGGAAAGUUCACACUGUGACGGUAUCUUACCAGAAAGGGACGGCUAACUACGUG